rnacentral:rRNA from 1 species
AGAAUCAACGCUGGCGGCGUGCCUAACACAUGCAAGUCGAACGCGAAAGGGGAGCAAUCCCUGAGUAGAGUGGCAAACGGGUGAGUAACACGUGGGUGACCUGCCUUCGAGUGGGGGAUAACGUUCCGAAAGGAACGCUAAUACCGCAUGACAUCCUGCUUUUGGAAAAGCGGAGAUCAAAGCUGGGGAUUCGCAAGAACCUGGCGCUUGAAGAGGGGCCCGCGCCUGAUUAGCUAGUUGGUGAGGUAACGGCUCACCAAGGCUACGAUCAGUA